AGCUCGUUUCUCGCUUAGCUCUUACUCUGCCAUCGACUCGCUUUGCUCACAGCUUCUCGCUUUGCUCAUAGCUUCUCGCUUCGCUACUAGCGCGCACUCUGCCGUCAGGCUUAUUGAUAAUUUUGAAGAUUUCCUUGGCUCUCUUGCGUCCAUUCACAACAUAGGCCAGUGGAUCGUCGCGACUAGAUUCCAUUAGAUUGUCGCACGAUUCCUGCCCGAUGUUAAACAUAAAGGAUGUGUCGAUAUCCUGCGGCAACUUGCCGCGCAGAAAGCUGAUCUCGUUGUCGGCCAACGAUGUUUUCCGCGACAAAAGCAGGGCGGACAGAAACAUUUCCAUCACUCACAUAUGUCCUCCGUGUGCUGCCAAUGUCCUGGCUCUUGGAAUUUGGGUAUCAUCCAGGUGAUGUUGCCCACGAGCUUCUCGCGCAGCGGAUCCUCCGCAAAUAUGGAUAAAGGUCCUUGCUGCCACUCACAUGCUGAUCCUCUUUGGAAAAGGAAAAGUGACUGCGCAUGCACGCGUACUCCGGAAGUUCCUCUGUGGAUGCGUAAUACUGAACCACGUGCCAACAGCCCAUCAUGCGCUCCAAAUCGAAGUUCUUAAUGGCUCCCACCUAAACGGAAAAUUAGUUCCAUAAUAAGUUAGAUAUGUAAGUAAUUUAGAGGAGGUCUUUAU
rnacentral:lncRNA from 1 species